AUUGAACGCUAGCGGGAUGCCUUACACAUGCAAGUCGAACGGAGUGGCGAACGGGUGAGUAAUGUAUCGGAACGUGCCCAGUAGCGGGGGAUAACUACGCGAAAGCGUAGCUAAUACCGCAUACUCUUGGAGCGGCCGUUAGCGGAGUAGCUAGUUGGUGGGGUAACGGUUCACCAGGGCGAAGACCCGUAGCUGGUUUGAGAGGACGUCCAGCCACACUGGGACUGUGACCCGGCCCAGACUCCUUCGGGAGGCAGCAGUGGGGAAUUUUGGACAAUUGGGGAAACCCUGGUCCAGCCAUCCCGCGUGUGCGAUGAAGGCCUUCGGGUUGUAAAGCAAUUUUGGCAGGAAAGCGGUACCUGCAGAAUAAGCACCGGCUAACUACGUGCCAGGAGCCGCGGUAAUAC
rnacentral:rRNA from 1 species